rnacentral:rRNA from 1 species
GACGAACGCUGGCGGCGUGCCUAAUACAUGCAAGUUGAGCGCUGAAGGUUGGUACUUGUACCAACUGGAUGAGCAGCGAACGGGUGAGUAACGCGUGGGGAAUCUGCCUUUGAGCGGGGGACAACAUUUGGAAACGAAUGCUAAUACCGCAUAAAAACUUUAAACACAAGUUUUAAGUUUGAAAGAUGCAAUUGCAUCACUCAAAGAUGAUCCCGCGUUGUAUUAGCUAGUUGGUGAGGUAAAGGCUCACCAAGGCGAUGAUACAUAGCCAACCUGAGAGGGUAAUCGGCCCCAUUGGGACUGAGACACGGCCCAAACUCCUACGGGAGGCAGCAGUAGGGAAUCUUCGGCGAUGGACGAAAGUCUGACCGAGCAACGCCGCGUGAGUGAAGAAGGUUUUCGGAUCGUAAAACUCUGUUGGUAGAGAAGAACGUUGGUGAGAGUGGAAAGCUCAUCAAGUGACGGUAACUACCCAGAAAGGGACGGCUAACUACGUG